GAAUCAUUGCCUCUGUUUGCCAGUAGUGCGAGGGAACGUCGUUACCGAGGUCCGAAUGCUUAAAAUUUUUGUCGAACACAGGUGUCUCCACUUCGUCCACGAUCAGAGAAUCUUUGUACAAUGAAGGAAUUGUUUAGACCAGGACAGAGGCCUCCAGAAUUCAAACUUCAACCAUUAAAUCACAGAGAAAAGAGACAGACAUGAAGAUGUUUCCAGAAGUGCUGUCAGUUUCGCAAGAACUGCGUCUGAUGUUGCGCUUUGACGGUUAUCCCGUUACGCCAGGGAGUCAAGAGUGCUUGGAGAGGCGUUCACAGAACCUGUAAACCAAAGCUGGGGCUCUCGCACUUUGUCUGCUUCACGUAAGAUUACAACUCGCAGUCCCUUUUCUUUUAAUGUUGGCAUUUGUUUAAUAUAGUUCUGUUGUUGUAGUUGUGUCAUUUAAUAUCUGUCGCACGUACAUCUUUAUAUACAACACAAAUCACACAAUCAUUUCUUUUGCAUUUAUUUACUUGUGUUUUAUUUGUGCUGCUGCCUAACUUCAGCAAUCACACCAGUGUAAAAUUCUUUCAACACAAUGUGAAGCUUUGCCUGGAAGUGGAAAGUUUAGACAUGGCUCCUUGUUGAUACGGCACAAUCUCGUCUCCAGCACACGGGCGCAGAUGAACCUCAUCUUGUUUUGCAGUGGAGACACUGAAAUUCACAGAAAAAGACACUGACAACAGACUAACGACAAUCAUUUUGUCUAACUUUCCAAUUAAUCAACCAUUCUUAUGUAAAGACAGGUGUUUUUUUUUGUUACCUGAUGUGUG